rnacentral:rRNA from 1 species
AUAUAUUGAUUUAUAUUUUUUAUUAAAAUUUAAUUUUUAAUAUUUAAAAAUUAGUAAUAAUGAUUAAAUUAGUAAAAUUUUAUAUUUUAAAUAUUUUAUAUUUUUUAGGUUAUCUUAAGGAACUCGGCAAAUAUAUUUUUCACCUGUUUAUUAAAAACAUGGCUUUUUGAUAAUAAUUUAAAGUCUAACCUGCCCAAUGAUUUAUUUAAAUGGCCGCGGUAUUUUGACCGUGCAAAGGUAGCAUAAUCAUUAGUUUUUUAAUUGAAAGCUUGUAUGAAAGGUUGAAUGAGAAAAUUACUGUCUUAAUUUAAAUUUAAUUGAAUUUUAUUUUUUAGUUAAAAAGCUAAAAUAUUUAUAGAAGACGAGAAGACCCUAUAGAGUUUUAUAAUUUUAUAGAUAUAAUUUUUAGUAUUUUAAUUUAUAUUUUUAAAAAUUAUUUUAUUGGGGUGAUAGAAAAAUUUAAAAAACUUUUUUUUUUAUUUUUACAUUUAUUUGUGAAUUAUUGAUCCUUAUUUUAAGAUUAAAAGAUUAAAUUACCUUAGGGAUAACAGCGUAAUUUUUUUUUAGAGUUCUAAUCGAAAGAAAAGAUUGCGACCUCGAUGUUGGAUUAAAAUUAAUUUUUGGUGUAGAAGCUAAAAUAUUAGGUCUGUUCGACCUUUAAAAUUUUACAUGAUCUGAGUUUAAACCGGUGUGAGCCAGGUUGGUUUCUAUCUCUAUAAAAUUGUAAUAUUUUAGUACGAAAGGACCAAAUAUUAAAAUUAUAUUUUUAAUUUAUGAAUAAUAAAAAUUU